AUUGAACGCUGGCGGCAUGCCUUACACAUGCAAGUCGAACGGCAGCGGGCCUUCGGGUGCCGGCGAGUGGCGAACGGGUGAGUAAUGCAUCGGAACGUGCCAUUGAGUGGGGGAUAACGUAGCGAAAGUUACGCUAAUACCGCAUAUUCUGUGAGCAGGAAAGCAGGGGACCGCAAGGCCUUGCGCUCUUUGAGCGGCCGAUGUCAGAUUGGCUAGUUGGUGAGGUAAAGGCUUACCAAGGCGACGAUCUGUAGCGGGUCUGAGAGGAUGAUCCGCCACACUGGAACUGAGACACGGUCCAGACUCCUACGGGAGGCAGCAGUGGGGAAUUUUGGACAAUGGGCGCAAGCCUGAUCCAGCCAUGCCGCGUGAGUGAAGAAGGCCUCGGUUGUAAGUACUCUUUCGGUCCGGGAACGGAAUACGCGAUGGUUAAGUACCUCGUGUGG
rnacentral:rRNA from 1 species